AGCACUGAACUGACGCGGGGCCCAAAAAGGUUACCAACUCAUAUCAAACUAAGAAUGCCGUCAAGAUACCCUCGGGAGUCAGUCUGCGUGAGAUAAGUCGCGUGGACAAAAGGGAAAGAGCCCAGACCGACAGCUAAGGUCCCAAAGUACGUGUUAAGUGGAAAAGGAUGUGGGAUUUCAUAGACAACUAGGAUGUUGGCUUAGAAGCAGCCAUACAUUUAAAGAGUGCGUAAUAGCUCACUAGUCGAGAAAACCUGCGCCGAAAAUGUAACGGGGCUAAAACACGACACCGAAGCUACGGAUUCCUUACAAAGUAAGGAGUGGUAGAGGAGCAUCCUGCAAGGACGAAGCCAAAGUGAGAGCGAUGGUGGACGAAACAGGAGAGAGAAUGCCGGAAUGAGUAGCGAGAUACAUGUGAGAAACAUGUAGGCCGAAUAUCUAAGGAUUCCUGGGUAAAGCUAAUCUUCCCAGGGUUAGUCGGGGCCUAAGGCGAGGACGAAAGUCGUAGUCGAUGGAUAACAGGUUGAUAUUCCUGUACUACACAUAAUCAGAACUGUGGGGACGCAGGAGGAUAGGGAAACCGGGGAAUGGAAAGACCCGGUCAAGCGUAAAGCUGUGGGAGAUAGGCAAAUCCGUCUCCUGUAAGUGAAACGUGAUGAGGACUGAAAAAAAGUAAGGAAGUUUCCGAAUCCACACUGCCGAGAAAAGCCGCUAUUGCGUUAUGUGUACCCGUACCGUAAACCGACACAGGUAGAUGAGGAGAAAAUCCACAGGCCGACGGGAGAAGUGUUGUUAAGGAACUCGGCAAAAUGACCCCGUAACUUCGGGAUAAGGGGAGCCUCGCAAGAGGCCGCAGAAAAGAGGCACAAGCAACUGUUUAGCAAAAACAUAGGUCUAUGCGAAACCGUAAGGUGAAGUAUAUGGGCUGACGCCUGCCCGGUGCUGGAAGGUUAAAAGGAGAGGUCAGCGCAAGCGAAGCUUUGAAUUCAAGCCCCAGUAAACGGCGGCCGUAACUAUAACGGUCCUAAGGUAGCGAAAUUCCUUGUCAGGUAAGUUCUGACCCGCACGAAAGGCGUAAUGAUUUGUGCACUGUCUCGACAACACGCCCGGUGAAAUUGAAGAACCAGUGAAGAUACUGGUUACCCGCAACAGGACGGAAAGACCCCAUGGAGCUUUACUGCAGCCUGAUACUGGGAUUCGAUGAUAUAUGUACAGGAUAGGUGGGAGGCUAAGAAGCGAGAACGCUAGUUUUCGUGGAGCCGCCGGUGGGAUACCACUCUUAUGUCAUUGAAUUUCUAACCUGCAUCCGUAAUCCGGGUGAGGGACAAUGUCAGGCGGGCAGUUUGACUGGGGCGGUCGCCUCCUAAAAGGUAACGGAGGCGCUCGAAGGUCACCUCAGAAUGAUUGGAAACCAUUCAAAGAGUGUAAAGGCAAAAGGUGGCUUGACUGCGAGAGCGACGGCUCGAGCAGGUACGAAAGUA
rnacentral:rRNA from 1 species